rnacentral:tRNA from 1 species
UGGCUCAGUUGGUAGAGCAUGGUGUGUGCAACGCCAGGCUUGUGGGUUCGAUUCCCAC